rnacentral:rRNA from 1 species
UACAGAGGGUGCAAGCGUUGUUCGGAAUUACUGGGCGUAAAGCGCGUGUAGGUGGCGAUGUAAGUCGGGUGUGAAAUCCCUCAGCUUAACUGAGGAAGUGCACUCGAUACUGUGAGGCUAGAGUCCGGAAGAGGCGAGUGGAAUUCCUGGUGUAGCGGUGGAAUGCGCAGAUAUCAGGAGGAACACCAAUAGCGAAGGCAGCUCGCUGGGACGGUACUGACGCUAAGGCGCGAAAGCGUGGGGAGCGAACAGG